AGUUUUAAACAGGAACAAUGUAAUCAGAUUUACUCUUUGGAAAUAAGAUCUCUUGGGUUUCUCGCUCUGUUGUCCAGGCCGGAGUGCAGUGAUGCAGUUACAGCUCACUGCAGCCUCAAACUCCUGGGCUCAAGCGAUCCUCCCACUUCAGCCUCCUGAAUAGCUGGGACUACAGUCUUCAGCUACCCAGUGAAGAGGAUGUUAUGAUUAUACCGUUUUACAUGUGAGGAAAUGGUACGUGGUCACACAGCUAUUAGCCGGGCGUGGUGGUGUGCACUUGUGGUCCCAGCUACUUGAAAGUGAAAGUGAGUACUCAAAA
rnacentral:lncRNA from 1 species